GACGAACGCUGGCGGCAUGCCUAAUACAUGCAAGUCGAGCGGAGUUAUGAUGGAGCUUGCUCCUGAUUAACUUAGCGGCGGACGGGUGAGUAACACGUAGGCAACCUGCCCUCAAGACUGGGAUAACUACCGGAAACGGUAGCUAAUGCCGGAUAAUUUCUUUCCUCUCCUGAAGAGAGAAUGAAAGGCGGAGCAAUCUGCUACUUGGGGAUGGGCCUGCGGCGCAUUAGCUAGUUGGUGGGGUAACGGCCUACCAAGGCGACGAUGCGUAGCCGACCUGAGAGGGUGACCGGCCACACUGGGACUGAGACACGGCCCAG
rnacentral:rRNA from 1 species